rnacentral:tRNA from 2 species
GCGGGUGUAGCACAGAGGUAGUGCAUCUGCCUUCCAAGCAGAAAACGCGGGUUCGAUUCCCGUCACCCGCUCCA